UACGUAGGGGGCGAGCGUUAUCCGGAAUUAUUGGGCGUAAAGGGUGCGUAGGCGGCUUAUUAAGUCUGAGGUGGAAGUGCGGGGCUCAACCCCGUGAUGCCUUGGAAACUGAUAAGCUAGAGUAUGGUAGAGGCAAGUGGAACUCCAUGUGUAGCGGUAAAAUGUGUAAAUAUAUGGAAGAACACCAGUGGCGAAGGCGGCUUGCUGGGCCAAGACUGACGCUGAGGCACGAGAGCGUGGGUAGCAAACA
rnacentral:rRNA from 1 species